rnacentral:rRNA from 1 species
AGCGAACGCUGGCGGCAGGCUUAACACAUGCAAGUCGAACGGUCCUUCGGGAUAGUGGCGGACGGGUGAGUAACACGUGGGAAUCUACCCAACCCUGCGGAACAACUCCGGGAAACUGGAGCUAAUACCGCAUUCGCCCUUCGGGGGCAGGAUUUAUCGGGGAUGGAUGCGCCCGCGUUGGAUUAGCUAGUUGGUGGGGUAAAGGCCUACCAAGGCGACGAUCCAUAGCUGGUCUGAGAGGAUGAUCAGCCACAUUGGGACUGAGACACGGCCCAAACUCCUACGGGAGGCAGCAGUGGGGAAUAUUGGACAAUGGGCGCAAGCCUGAUCCAGCCAUGCCGCGUGAGUGAUGAAGGCCUUAGGGUUGUAAAGCUCUUUCACCGAUGAAGAUAAUGACGGUAGUCGGAGAAGAAGCCCCGGCUAACUUCGUGCCAGCAGCCGCCGUAA